UUCAAUAAACUUUAUAAGUGGUAAUAUUAGCAUACUUUAAGCUCACAGGCAGUGCCUGUUUAGUAGAUGUGAAUGCCUAACAGUUAAUUUUAAUACCCCAACAGCAAAAGUCAGUUAUAUAAUUUCCGUCACAAAUAGAUGACAGUAAAAUAGGGAGUUUGAUAGUUUCCUGUAGACAAUCUGUUUAGAAAUAAAAAAAAUCAUUGUUCUAAAUACAUCCAAAAGAAAGUUGUCUGAUUUUCUCUUUUUUUCUAAAUCAUCUGUUUAAUUGUACUGUAUUCUCUAGGUUUUAAAAAUACUUGUCCCUGUGAAUUUUGCAUGAAGUUUGCCAAUUUUGUAUGGAAAUAAGAAAUCUUGUUAUUUUUAUAGUCACCUGGAAAACUUCUGUCUUGAAGUUUGUUUUUUUUUUUUUAAUACUUUUGUCACCACAUGAUAUCAAUUCAGUACUUUUAAUAAAUUAGACCAUUUCUGACUUACAAGAAUAGAAACUUUCAUGAGACUGGAACAACUGGCUAGGGUUAACCAUGCACCCACUUUCCCUUAGGCUGGAUAAGGAUAAGAAAAUACUGUGCUUGCAUUCUGCAAUCCAAAGACUACAUUUUUGAAGGCAUGAUUACUGAAUAGAAGUGUUUACUUAGCUGAGUUCUGCUUUGUUAAGGAUACAACUGUCUCAUUUGUUUAGCAAAGGGUUAAAUAGAAACUAAUCCUUUACGCUUACUUUGAAAGGUGGUUAUCUUUCCAGCAGGAGAGACCAUUGUUUGUUUUGCCAGACACUGUAAUUGUUCCUUAAGCCAUCAUGCUCUCUAAAAGAAUAAACUUAUUAGAAAGAGAAAAAAUAUCAUUGGCAUAAGCAUUGUCUUUAAAAGGUUCAAAAAAAAAAAAAAAAAGGAAGUGCUUUCAUUUAUAUCUAACUAGUAUAGGCAUUUUGUAUGAUGUAAGCUCUAUUAAAGCUUUUUGUGGAGAGAUUAUUUUUUGUGUGACGAGUGUUCUAGUAGAGGUAUCAUAGGUUAUGGGAAACAGAAUAGUAGUAUGUUUGCCUCAAGUUAAUUACAUUUAUUCAGAUGAAAUACUACUGUACUCUUCAGGACAAGCAGAGAGAAUACCAAAACCUUUUUUAGCCAGCAUUUAUCUGUUUCAAUUAUUUUUGACAGUGUGUGUUGCAUGUGUGCUUUAGCUACAGUGCCUUUAUAUCGACAGUUGGUAGCACAAGCCUUUUAAAGCACAAAGGGUAGCAGUACUUCAGCCAAUCUGUGAUAAAAGGGGAAAAAAAUGAAAUCACUAUGGAAACUGCAGGAAGAAUCUAAAAGCUUUCUUUAUAAAGUAAACGUCUGAUGUUUGUGACUGCGGGGGCAAAAAAUUCAUAAAUCUGUACGAUGCUAUCAUUUCUGAUUUGUUAUCGCAGCAAAUGCCAAGUCUGAGCAGUCUGACCUUAGCCUUAUUAAGUGCUUUCUUUUCAGAUACAGUUGUUAUUCGACAAUAGAGAGACUGUAGUGCUGCAAGGGGGAAACUAAUAUAUUUAAAAUGCAUGUGUGUGUCUGUGUGCGCCUGUGUGCGUGUAUAUAUAUAACUAUCCAUCUUCUUUUCCCUGUGAAGCUUAUGGAGUUGGGAACGCUGAAUGUGGGAACUCAGGGACUACUAUUCUGAGCACAAUUGAGAAAACUAUGUUUCGUCCCAUUGCAUGCGUCUGUCUUUGAUCUCAAAUUGAAAAUCUCUGAGCCUCUUCCUCCAAUCCAAAAGCAAAUAAAUACGGAGAGAAAGAAACCUCUCCUCUCAGCACAUAGGGCCUCCGCGACUGAAAAAUGAAGGUGGCUGUAAGAGCUCUCUGAUGAACCUGUUUGGACAACAGACAGCAAAAAAUACCUGUCUCAGCGGAGCAGUUUAAGAACACUGCAGAGAUACUCAGACAGUACAGAAUAUCUUGGCUCACACAGGCCACUCUCUUUAUCUCAAAACAAUACCAGCCAAGCUCCUCUGUACCUACAACUGAAGAGCUGCAGGAACAGCAAGACAGUAACUAAAACAGCUUUUAAAUUUCAAUCUCCUUAUUUUAUUAAAACAAAUAAAACAGGAAAAAAAAAAACAGAGAAAAACCCCUAACAAAACACCAAAAAGAAAAAAGACAUGCGUUCUAAGCAAGAUAAAGUAUCUGAUUCCAAAGAAGAAAACUAUCCAUGGCAGGUUAAAGCUACAGGGGAAGUCCUGACUGGUUUUUCUUCAUCCAGCUACUUUACUUACAGCUUUUUGAAACCAGCAAUUCCUGUGGAUCAGGAGGUAGGUCCAAAUCCAUAUAAUCCUAUGAAAACAAUUGCUAAAUAUAAAUUCCUGCUAACAAGUGAAUUGUCAAACUGGAAUAUCUGUAAUGUAGUCUGGCUACUUAAACCAGUGUUCUUAAAGAACCAAGGGGAACAAUUCUAUUAAUGUUCAUCACAUUUAGGGGGGUGGGGGUGUUUUUUUGAGGGGUUGGGAUAUUUUUUGUGGGUUUUCUUUGUUUGCUUUAAUAAGGAAAUACCUUGUUCUCUUUAUCCUAUUUAACUCUUGUCUUGAUAUGGAAGUGGGUACAAGAUUAAUUUAGAAAGUGAACUUUUUCAAAAGAGAUGGUUUAAUUUCUCAACCAUGUGAGAAUAUGCCUGUUGCUGUAAUUCAUGUACUACCAGUACUACCAGCUAGCUAGAUGCUGGGGGCUCACUGAGCCAUCACUGACCCUCCGCAGCAAGACUGUGCUGAGCAGGAGGGCUGCGGUGAGACUCUUCCUGCAUCCUGCAGGAGCCUGGCACUGAGCGUGGCAAAACUCUCUGGGGGGUAACACAGUGGAUGAUUGAUUGUACCCGCCAGCUGGCUAAUAUCAUAAUUAACAAAGUUGCUACCAUGUCUGAGAAGUUUAAUCGAAAAAAUUGCCGGCAGUAUGAUGCCAUUGUCACAGAGAUCACAAGCGCUGCAGUGUCAACUUUUGUACUGAUGGAGCCGCAGGACUAUGUAGAUGUGCUGAGAAGUCGUUCACUGGGAUCACUAAAGCGAGAUGUGAUUGCAGACAGCGCACAAUUGGGCUCUGGUAGAACUGGCCAGUAGCAACAGCCUUUGCUCUGCUCGUCACCACCGGAGCAGCUGUGCCACGGGAGCACAGAAUUUGGGAGCAGCUGCCUGCGAUGAGUCCUCACAUGCAGGAAUGUCAGCAGGAACGCAUGGAAGCACAUCAGCAAGGUUUAGCUGGGGGAUCACAUUGUGAAAUGUGCAGCCAUGAAAGGCCUUCCAUUUACUGCACCCUUCAAAACGAAAUAUUAGCAUGGGAGCUAAGCUGUGACUUAUGCAGAGUAUGUUGGAGUAGUGACUUCAAGUUAUGGUUCACAAGUAACUUCAGGACAGCAUGAAGAGAGCUGUCAAUAAGAAAUGGAGGCUAAUAACGAAGGAGUCAGUGAAGGAGACCAAUGCCAUGAGGGUUAUCUCGCAGCCCCAGAUGCUGGAUAAGUUGAAGGAGGCAGAAUCAGUUUUGGAUGACAUUCAGGAGGGCCUUGAAUGAUUAUUUGGCAAAGAAAAGACUAUUCUUUCCAAGGAUUUUUCUCUUGAUGCAACAGCAGUCUCUCAGGAAUCCUUUCUGAGAUAAAGGAUCCACUCCAAGUCCAACCACACUGAAGGAAAUGCUUUGAAGGAAUUGCCAAGCUCACUUUUAAUCACGAGAAAGAAAUUACCCACAUGGAGUCAGCAGAAAAUGAAAAAGUAGAACUCGUGCUGCGAAUAAUUCCAGCAAGUGCCAAGGGGCUAGUUGAGAAAUGGCUUCAUGAGGUGAAUAUCUUUAGCUCUUACUUAGGGUUUAGUUACUGUAUAAUCAUUUUCUCUUUUAGGAGCAAUGAAUAUCAUAAGCGUAUUUCCUGACUAAAUGGCUCUGUGAAUAUUUGUCAAGAUGUUGACAGAUUUCAGCCUUAUUGUUGUUAUUUAUUGCAACUAAUUUAGCAUCUGCAAACCUGCAGAAAUUAAUUCUAAUAAAAAGCUCUUAGAAUCAGGUUGUCAACAGAAGUGGAUCUGUGUCUGAAGCCAUAUAUGUGAAUAUAUGUUUGAGUCUACAUGUAUGUGUUUUUGUGCUUUUAUGGUGUAAUGUCUGUAGUUCAGGAGGAUAACAUUUAAAAAAUCAGAGAAAUGUAAGAUUUUAAAUGCCUCCCACCCUGCUGAAAGUGUGUCCCAUUGUCCUGGAGGGGUUUAAUUUCCAAUCAUUCUAACAAAAGGGAAGAGAAAUUAUGUCAGUGAUACCACCCUAACCUUUCCCCUUUGGGUCUCUCAUCCAAAUUCAUUGGUUUCAGUAUGAAAUUAGUUUGGUGACCUUCUUUUUGUUUGCUUUGUUUAACCUUCCUCUGCCAGUAGAUGGGAAAGGGCCCUUCCCUACUUUAUUUUUCUGGGCCAAAACCCUAUUUCCCUUCCCAUGUGCUCCUUUUUCUCCUGAGGCAGGAUCAGCCCCUGGAGCAUCAUUUCCCUUUUGUCUGCUGUUGUGGGUGCU